GAUGAACGCUGGCGGCGUGCCUAAUACAUGCAAGUCGAGCGAACAGAUGAGGAGCUUGCUCCUCUGACGUUAGCGGCGGACGGGUGAGUAACACGUGGAUAACCUACCUAUAAGACUGGGAUAACUUCGGGAAACCGGAGCUAAUACCGGAUAAUAUAUUGAACCGCAUGGUUCAAUAGUGAAAGACGGUUUUGCUGUCACUUAUAGAUGGAUCCGCGCCGCAUUAGCUAGUUGGUAAGGUAACGGCUUACCAAGGCGACGAUGCGUAGCCGACCUGAGAGGGUGAUCGGCCCCACUGGAACUGAGACACGGUCCAGACUCCUACGGGAGGCAGCAGUAGGGAAUCUUCCGCAAUGGGCGAAAGCCUGACGGAGCAACGCCGCGUGAGUGAUGAAGGUCUUCGGAUCGUAAAACUCUGUUAUUAGGGAAGAACAAAUGUGUAAGUAACUAUGCACGUCUUGACGGUACCUAAUCAGAAAGCCACGGCUAACUACGUG
rnacentral:rRNA from 1 species